UACGAAGGGGGCUAGCGUUGCUCGGAAUCACUGGGCGUAAAGGGUGCGUAGGCGGGUCUUUGAGGCAGGGGUGAAAUCCUGGAGCUCAACUCCAGAACUGCCUUUGAUACUGAAGAUCUUGAGUUCGGGAGAGGUGAGUGGAACUGCGAGUGUAGAGGUGAAAUUCGUAGAUAUUCGCAAGAACACCAGUGGCGAAGGCGGCUCACUGGCCCGAUACUGACGCUGAGGCACGAAAGCGUGGGGAGCAAACAGG
rnacentral:rRNA from 1 species